CAUUAGUAGAAUUAUUGAAACUGUUAAAUAUGAAAAACCAUUGUACACCAUGUUCUUGCAAAUAAAAAUAUUAUUAUAUUCUAUUGUUUUGCGCCAGGUUUAUACAUAAGUGUCUAAUAUGAAAAUAGUAAAAAAUAUAUAGGUUCUGCAAAUAACUUUAAAAUACCUACUAAUUACCUAUAUUUUCAGACUUAAAUACAGGAGAAGAAUAUAGAAAUAGGAAAGGGAUAUUUUCUAUUAAUGUUCAAGGAGUAUGCAAUGCAGACUUAUUAUUUAUGAAUGUUGUUGCUCGAUGGCCCGGGUCUUCUCACAAUGCUACUGUAUUUAACAACUCAGUGCUAAAAAUGCAGUGUGAAGAAGGGUUGUUUGGCAAUA